UCAGGGUGGAGACUUAGCAUUGGUAUUGUAAGAAAAAGCCAGCCUAAAGCAUUCUCCUAAGUGACAAGAAAAAAAUAAUGUCAUGGACAACAAGAAAAAAACACAUUUUUGCCUUAGGGCCUGAACUAGUCUAGGCCAUUUAGCCUGCCUGAUAGGUCAGACUGCCAAAUAAGAGAAGUAAGAGUUGGGAGAGAUAUCUCUGCUUCCUCCCUUUUUAGGGGAUGGUAAUCUCACCAACUUGUAAAGCAUGCCCUACCCCAAAACACCAGACCGAACAACUGUCUUGGUUUGGUCCACUGCUCUCACCAAGGUCCUCACGAGGUGAUCACAGGAAGUUAGUGGGAAAAGAAAGGGGAGGGAAGUAGAGAUGGGGGAAAGCAUGCGCAAGGCUGUCUAAUUGAGCUGAUUUUCACUGUGCAUAGCAGCGGGUUACUACUGCUGGGGGCCUGCAAGGAACAGUGGAGAAUGUGAUUCAAAAUUGCUCCUCCAAAUGACAAGUGAGGUCUGAGUCUGGCAGAAUUGUGGCACAGGGACCUAUUUCAUUUGCUAUGACUCCUACCAAUCAUGAAGUCCAACGAUACCAUGGAGCAUGUGCAGGAGCAGAGGAGAUAGCAACAAUAAAAGCGUUUACUGCCAUUUCUUGCUGUCCUAUUUGCAUAUAGUGUUCAUAAAAUCCCAUGAGCACAGGAUUCCGAUGAAUCUACAUUGCAUGGGAGCUCAGAGGGGACUCAAAGCAAGUACACG
rnacentral:lncRNA from 1 species